AGUGAACGCUGGCGGUAGGCCUAACACAUGCAAGUCGAACGGCAGCACAGUAAGAGCUUGCUCUUACGGGUGGCGAGUGGCGGACGGGUGAGGAAUACAUCGGAAUCUACUUUUUCGUGGGGGUUAACGUAGGGAAGCUUACGCUAAUACCGCAUCCGACGUACGGGUGAAAGCAGGGGAUCGUCUGACCUUGCGCGAUUGAAUGAGCCGAUGUCGGAUUAGCUAGUUGGCGGGGUAAAGGCCCACCAAGGCGACGAUCCGUAGCUGGUCUGAGAGGAUGAUCAGCCACACUGGAACUGAGACACGGUCCAGACGCCUACGGGAGGCAGCAGUGGGGAAUAUUGGACAAUGGGCGCAAGCCUGAUCCAGCCAUACCGCGUGGGUGAAGAAGGCCUUCGGGUUGUAAAGCCCUUUUGUUGGGAAAGAAAAGCAGCAGGUUAAUACCCCGCUGUUCUGACGGUACCCAAAGAAUAAGCACCGGCUAACUUCGUG
rnacentral:rRNA from 1 species